GUGCCAGCAGCCGCGGUAAUACGUAGGAUGCGAGCGUUGUCCGGAAUUAUUGGGCGUAAAGCGAACGUAGGCGGCCUGGUAAGUUUGGUCUUAAAGACCGGGGCUCAACCCCGGGAAUGGAUCGAAUACUGCCAGGCUGGAGUACGCUAGAGGAUGGUGGAAUUCCAAGUGUAGCGGUGAAACGCGUAGAUAUUUGGAGGAACACCGGUGGCGAAAGCGACCAUCUGGGGCGUUACUGACGCUGAGGUUCGAAAGCUCGGGGAGCAAACAGGAUUAGAUACCCUGGUAGUCC
rnacentral:rRNA from 1 species